rnacentral:rRNA from 1 species
UACAGAGGGGGCAAGCGUUAUUCGGAAUUAUUGGGCGUAAAGGGCGCGUAGGCGGCCUGGCAAGUGGAAGGUGAAAUCCCUCGGCUUAACCGAGGGAACUGCCCUCCAAACUGCUUGGCUUGAGUCCGGGAGAGGUGAGUGGAAUUCCCAGUGUAGCGGUGAAAUGCGUAGAUAUUGGGAGGAACACCAGUGGCGAAGGCGGCUCACUGGACCGGAACUGACGCUGAUGCGCGAAAGCGUGGGGAGCAAACGGG